CCCGCGACUUCCCGCGGGCACGCCGAGGUGCCUCACAAAGUCUCGCCCCAUUCCGAGUCCGGUGGACGAACUUCGCCCGCGCCCCCCACCAAGGCUAUAGCCCACCCGUUUUUUGGACAUUUUUCCGCUGGGGGGUUUUGGCACCACGACCUUCGGGCGCUUAUUUUUGGACGCGGCUGUGCCCGCGACUUCCCGCGGGCACCCCGAGGCCCCUCGCAAAGUCUCGCCCCAUUCCGAGUCCGGCGGACGAACUUCGCCCGCGCCCCCCACCAACGCUAUAGCCCACCCAUUUUUUGGCCAUUUUUCCGGUGGGGGGUUUUGGCACCACGACCUUUGGGCGCUUAUUUUUGGGCGCGGCUUUGCCCGCGGCUUAUUUUUGGUGCCCCGAGGCCCCUCGCAAAGUCUCGCCCCAUUUCGAGUCCGGCGGACGAACUUCGCCCGCGCCCCCCACCAAGGCUAUAGCCCACCCGUUUUUUGGCCAUUUUUCCGCUGGGGGGUUUUGGCACCACGACCUUCGGGCGCUUAUUUUUGGGAGCGGCUUUGCCCGCGGCUUAUUUUUGGCACCCCGAGGCCCCUCGCAAAGUCUCGCCCCAUUCCGAGUCUGGCGGACGAACUUCGCCCGCGCCCCCCACCAAGGCUAUAGCCCACCCGUUUUUUGGCCAUUUUUCCGCUGGGGGGUUUUGGCACCACGACCUUCGGGCGCUUAUUUUUGGACGCGGCUGUGCCCGCGACUUCCCGCGGGCACCCCGAGGCCCCUCGCAAAGUCUCGCCCCAUUCCGAGUCCGGCGGACGAACUUCGCCCGCGCCCCCCACCAAGGCUAUAGCCCACCCGUUUUUUGGCCAUUUUUCCGCUGGGGGGUUUUGGCACCACGACCUUCGGGCGCUUAUUUUUGGGCGCGGCUUUCCCCGCGGCUUAUUUUUGGUGCCCCGAGGCCCCUCGCAAAGUCUCGUCCCAUUCCGAGUCCGGCGGACGAACUUCGCCCGCGCCCCCCACCAAGGCUAUAGCCCACCCGUUUUUUGGCCAUUUUUCCGCUGGGGGGUUUUGGCACCACGACCUUCGGGCGCUUAUUUCUAGACGCGGCUGUGUCCGCGACUUCCCGCGGGCACCCCGAGGCCCCUCGCAAAGUCUCGCCCCAUUCCAAGUCCGGCGGACGAACUUCGCCCGCGCCCCCCACCAAGGCUAUAGCCCACCCGUUUUUUGGCCAUUUUUCCGCUGGCGGGUUUUGGCACCACGACCUUCGGGCGCUUAUUUCUAGACGCGGCUGUGCCCGCGACUUCCCGCGGGCACCCCGAGGCCCCUCGCAAAGUCUCGCCCCAUUCCAAGUCCGGCGGACGAACUUCGCCCGCGCCCCCCACCAAGGCUAUAGCCCACCCGUUUUUUGGCCAUUUUUCCGCUGGGGGGUUUUGGCACCACGACCUUCGGGCGCUUAUUUUUGGACUUGGCUGUGCCCGCGACUUCCCGCGGGCACCCCGAGGCCCCUCGCAAAUUCUCGCCCCAUUCCGAGUCCGGCGGACGAACUUCGCCCGCGCCCCCCACCGAGGCUAUAGCCCACCCGUUUUUUGGCCAUUUUUCCGCUGGGGUGUUUGGCACCACGACCUUCGGGCGCUUAUUUUUGGGCGCGGCUUUGCCCGCGGCUUAUUUUUGGUGCCCCGAGGCCCCGCGCAAAGUGUCGCCCCAUUCAGAGUCCGGCGGACGAACCUCGCCCCCGCCCCCCACCAAGGCUAUAGCCCACCCGUUUUUUGGCCAUUUUUCCGCUGGGGGGUUUUGGCACCACGACCUUCGGGCGCUUAUUUUUGGGCGCGGCUUUGCGCGCGGCUUAUUUUUGGUGCCCCGAGGCCCCUCGCAAAGUCUCGCCCCAUUCCGAGUCCGGCGGAAGAACUUCGCCCGCCCCCCCCACCAAGGUUAUAGCCCACCCGUUUUUUGGCCAUUUUUCCGCUGGGGGGUUUUGGCACCACGACCUUCGGGCGCUUAUUUUUGGGCGCGGCUUUGCCCGCGGCUUAUUUUUGGCGCCCUGAGGCCCCGCGCAAAGUCUCGCCCCAUUCCGAGUCCGGCGGACGAACUUCGCCCGCGCCCCCCACCAAGGCUAUAGCCCACCCGUUUUUUGGCCAUUUUUCCGCUGGGGGGUUUUGGCACCACGACCUUUGGGCAAUUAUUUUUGGGCGCGGCUUUGCCCGCGGCUUAUUUUUGGCACCAUGAGGCCCCUCGCAAAGUCUCGCCCUAUUCCGAGUCCGGCGGCAAACUUCGCCCGCGCCCCCCACCAAGGCUAUAGCCCACCCGUUUUUUGGCCAUUUUUCUGCUGGGGGGUUUUGGCACCACGAACUUCGGGCGCUUAUUUUUGGGCGCGGCCUUGGCCGCGGCUUAUUUUUGGCACCCCGAGGCCCCUCGCAAAGGCUCGCCCCAUUCCGAGUCCGGCGGACAAACUUCGCCCGCGCCCCCCACCAAGGCUAUAGCCCACCCGUUUUUUGGCCAUUUUUCCGCUGGGGGGUUUUGGCACCACGACCUUCGGGCGCUUAUUUUUGGGCGCAGCUUUGCCCGCGGCUUAUUUUUGGCGUCCCGAGGCCCCUCGCAAAGUCUCGCCCCAUUCCAAGUCCGGCGGACGAACUUCGCCUGCGCCCCCCACCAAGGCUAUAGCCCACAACGUUUUUUGGCCAUUUUUCCGCUGGGGGGUUUUGGCACCACGACCUUCGGGCGCUUAUUUUUGGGCACGGCCUUGGCCGCGGCUUAUUUUUGGCACCCCGAGGCCCCUCGCAAAGGCUCGCCCCAUUCCGAGUCCGGCGGACGAACUUCGCCCGCGCCCCACACCAAGGCUAUAGCCCACCCGGUUUUUUGGCCAUUUUUCCGCUGGGGGGGUUUUGGCACCACGACCUUUCGGGCGCUUAUUUCUGGACGCGGCUGUGGCCCGCGACUUCCCGCGGGCACCCCGAGGCCCCUCGUAAAGUCUCGCCCCAUUCCGAGUCCGGCGGACGAACUUCGCCCGCGCCCCCCACCAAGGCUAUAGCCCACCCGUUUUUUGGCCAUUUUUCCGCUGGGGGGUUUUGGCACCACGACCUUCGGGCGCUUAUUUUUUAGCGCGGCUUUGCCCGCGGCUUAUUUUUGGCACCCCGAGGCCCCUCGCAAAGUCUCGCCCCAUUCCGAGUCCGGCGGACGAACUUCGCCCGCGCCCCCCACCAAGGCUAUAGCCCACCCGUUUUUUCGCCAUUUUUCCGCUGGGGAGUUUUGGCACCACGACCUUGGGGCGCUUAUUUCUGGACGCGGCUGUGCCCGCGACUUCCCGCGGGCACCCCGAGGCCCCUCGCAAAGUCUCGCCCCAUUCCGAGUCCGGCGGACGAACUUCGCCCGCGCCCCCCACCAAGGCUAUAGCCCACCCGUUUUUUGGCCAUUUUUCCGCUGGGGGGUUUUGGCACCACGACCUUCGGGCGCUUAUUUUUGGACGCGGCCGUGCCCGGGACUUCCCGCGGGCUCCCCGAGGCCCCUCGCAAAGUCUCGCCCCAUUCCGAGUCCGGCGGACGAACUUCGCCCGCGCCCCCCACCAAGGCUAUAGCCCACCCGUUUUUUGGCCAUUUUUCCGCUGGGGGGUUUUGGCACCACGACCUUCGGGCGCUUAUUUUGGGCGCGGCUUUGUCCGCGGCUUAUUUUUGGUGCCCGAGGCCCGCGCAAAGUCUCGCCCAUUCCGAGUCCGGCGGACGACUUCGCCCGCGCCCCCACAAGGCUAUAGCCCACCCGUUUUUGNNNNNNNNNNNNNNNNNNNNNNNNNNNNNNNNNNNNNNNNNNNNNNNNNNNNNNNNNNNNNNNNNNNNNNNNNNNNNNNNNNNNNNNNNNNNNNNNNNNNGAAGCCCCUCGCAAGUCUCGUCCCAUUCCGAGUCCGGCGGACGAACUUCGUUCGCGCCCCCCACCAAGGCUAUAGCCCACCCGUUUUUUGGCCAUUUUUCCGUUGGGGGGUUUUGGCACCACGACCUUUGGGUGCUUAUUUUUGGGCGCGGCUUUGCCCGCGGCUUAUUUUUGGCACCCCGAGGCCCCUCGCAAAGUCUCGCCCCAUUCCGAGUCCGGCGGACGAACUUCGCCCGCGCCCCCCACCAAGGCUAUAGCCCACCCGUUUUUUGGCCAUUUUUCCGCUGGGGAGUUUUGGCACCACGGCCUUGGGGCGCUUAUUUCUGGACGCGGCUGUGCCCGCGACUUCCCGCGGGCACCCCGAGGCCCCUCGCAAAGUCUCGCCCCAUUCCGAGUCCGGCGGACGAACUUCGCCCGCGCCCCCCACCAAGGCUAUAGCCCACCCGUUUUUUGGCCAUUUUUCCGCUAGGGGGUUUUGGCACCACGACCUUCGGGCGUUUAUUUUUGGACGCGGCUGUUCCCGCGACUUCCCGCGGGCACCCCGAGGCCCCUCGCAAAGUCUCGCCCCAUUCUGAGUCCGGCGGACGAACUUCGCCCGCGCCCCCCACCAAGGCUAUAGCCCACCCGUUUUUUGGCCAUUUUUCCGCUGGGGGGUUUUGGCACCACGACCUUCGGGCACUUAUUUUUGUACGCGGCUGUGCCCGCGACUUCCCGCGGGCACCCCGAGGCCCCUCGCAAAGUCUCGCCCCAUUCCGAGUCCGGCGGACGAACUUCGCCCGCGCCCCCCACCAAGGCUAUAGCCCACCCGUUUUUUGGCCAUUUUUCCGCUGGGCGGUUUUGGCACCACGACCUUCGGGCACUUAUUUUUGGGUGCGGCUUUGUCCGCGGCUUAUUUUUGGCGCCCCGAGGCCCUGCGCAAAGUCUCGCCCCAUUCCGUGUCCGGCGGACGAGCUUCGCCCGCGCCCCCCACCAAGGCUAUAGCCCACCCGUUUUUUGGCCAUUUUUCCGCUGGGGAGUUUUGGCACCACGGCCUUGGGGCGCUUAUUUCUGGACGCGGCUGUGCCCGCGACUUCCCGCGGGCACCCCGAGGCCCCUCGCAAAGUCUCGCCCCAUUCCGAGUCCGGCGGACGAACUUCGCCCGCGCCCCCCACCAAGGCUAUAGCCCACCCGUUUUUUGGCCAUUUUUCCGCUGGGCGGGUUUUGGCACCACGACCUUCGGGCGUUUUUGGCACCACGACCUUCGGGCACUUAUUUUUGGGUGCGGCUUUGUCCGCGGCUUAUUUUUGGCGCCCCGAGGCCCUGCGCAAAGUCUCGCCCCAUUCCGUGUCCGGCGGACGAACUUCGCCCGCGCCCACCACCAAGGCUAUAGCCCACCCGUUUUUUGGCCAUUUUUCCGCUAGGGGGUUUUGGCACCACGACCUUCGGGCGUUUAUUUUUGGACGCGGUUGUUCCUGCGACUUCCCGCGGGCACCCCGAGGCCCCUCGCAAAGUCUCGCCCCAUUCCGAGUCCGGCGGACGAACUUCGCCCGCGCCCCCCACCAAGGCUAUAGCCCACCCGUUUUUUGGCCAUUUUUCCGCUGGGGGGUUUUGGCACCACGACCUUCGGGCGCUUAUUUUUGGGCGCGGCUUGCCUGCGGCUUAUUUUUGGUGCCCCGAGGCCCCUCGCAAAGUCUCGUCCCAUUCCGAGUCCGGCGGACGAACUUCGUUCGUGCCCCCCACCAAGGCUAUAGCCCACCCGUUUUUUGGCCAUUUUUCCGUUGGGGGGUUUUGGCACCACGACCUUUGGGUGCUUAUUUUUGGGCGCGGCUUUGCCCGCGGCUUAUUUUUGGCACCCCGAGGCCCCUCGCAAAGUCUCGCCCCAUUCCGAGUCCGGCGGACGAACUUCGCCCGCGCCCCCCACCAAGGCUAUAGCCCAACCGUUUUUUGGCCAUUUUUCCGCUGGGGAGUUUUGGCACCACGGCCUUGGGGCGCUUAUUUCUGGACGCGGCUGUGCCCGCGACUUCCCGCGGGCACCCCGAGGCCCCUCGCAAAGUCUCGCCCCAUUCCGAGUCCGGCGGACGAACUUCGCCCGCGCCCCCCACCAAGGCUAUAGCCCACCCGUUUUUUGGCCAUUUUUCCGCUGGGGGGUUUUGGCACCACGACCUUCGGGUGCUUAUUUUUGGACGCGGCUGUGCCCGCGACUUCCCGCGGGCACCCCAAGGCCCCUCGCAAAGUCUCGCCCCAUUCUGAGUCCGGCGGACGAACUUCGCCCGCGCCCCCCACCAAGGCUAUAGCCCACCCGUUUUUUGGCCAUUUUUCCGCUGGGGGGUUUUUGCACCACGACCUUCGGGCGCUUAUUUUUGGGCGCGGCUUUGCUCGCAGCUUAUUUUUGGCGCCCCGAGGCCCCGCGCAAAGUCUCGCCCCAUUCCGAGUCCGGCGGACGAACUUCGCCCUCGCCCCCCACCAAGGCUAUAGCCCACCCGUUUUUUGGCCAUUUUUCCGCUGGGGGGUUUUGGCACCACGACCUUCGGGCGCUUAUUUGUGGACGCGGCUGUGCCCGCGACUUCCCGCGGGCACCCCGAGGCCCCUCACAAAGUCUCGACCCAUUCCGAGUCCGGCGGACGAACUUCGCCCGCGCCCCCCACCAAGGCUAUAGCCCACCCGUUUUUUGGCCAUUUUUCCGCUGGGGGGUUUUGGUACCACGACCUUCGGGCGCUUAUUUUUGGGCGCGGCCUUGCGCGCGGCUUAUUUUUGGUGCCCCGAGGCCCCUCGCAAAGUCUCGCCCCAUUUCGAGUCCGGCGGACGAACUUCGCCCGCGCCCCCCACCAAGGCUAUAGCCCACCCGGUUUUUGGCCAUUUUUCCGCUGGGGGAUUUGGCACCACGACCUUUGGGCGCUUAUUUUUGGGCGCGGCUUUGCUCGCGGCUUAUUUUUGGCACCCCGAGGCCCCUCGCAAAGUCUCGCCCCAUUCCGAGUCUGGCGGACGAACUUCGCCCGCGCCCCCCACCAAGACAAUAGGCCACCCGUUUUUUGGCCAUUUUUCCGCUGGGGGUUUUGGCACCACGACCUUCCGGCGCUUAUUUUUGGACGCGGCUGUGCCCGCGACGUCCCGCGGGCACCCCGAGGCCCCUCGCAAAGUCUCGACCCAUUCCGAGUCCGGCGGACGAACUUCGCCCGCGCCCCCCACCAAGGCUAUAGCCCACCCGUUUUUUGGCCAUUUUUCCGCUGGGGGGUUUUGGCACCACGACCUUCGGGCGCUUAUUUUUGGACGCGGCUGUGCCUGCGACUUCCCGCGGGCACCCCGAGGCCCCUCGCAAAGUGUCGCCCCAUUCCGAGUCCGGCGGACGAACUUCGCCCGCGCCCCCCACCAAGGCUAUAGCCCACCCGUUUUUUGGCCAUUUUUCCGCUGGGGGGUUUUGGCACCACGACCUUCGGGGGCUUAUUUUUGGACGCGGCUGUGCCUGCGACUUCCCGCGGGCACCCCGAGGCCCCUCGCAAAGUGUCGCCCCAUUCCGAGUCCGGCGGACGAACUUCGCCCGCGCCCCCCACCAAGGCUAUAGCCCACCCGUUUUUUGGCCAUUUUUCCGCUGGGGGGUUUUGGCACCACGACCUUCGGGCGCUUAUUUUUGGGCGCGGCUUUGCCCGCGGCUUAUUUUUGGCACCCCGAGGCCCCGCGCAAAGUCUCGCCCCAUUCCGAGUCUGGCGGACGAACUUCGCCCGCGCCCCCCACCAAGGCUAUAGCCCACCCGUUUUUUGGCCAUUUUUCCGCUGGGGGGUUUUGGCACCACGACCUUCGGGCGCUUUUUUCUGGACGCGGCCAUGCCCGCGACUUCCCGCGGGCAACCCGAGGCACCUCGCAAAGUCUCGUCCCAUUCCAAGUCCGGCGGACGAACUUCGCCCGCGCCCCCCACCAAGGCUAUAGCCCACCCG
rnacentral:lncRNA from 1 species